GGGGUGGAGAUAAAGGUCACGGCUAAGGACGGUUAGCAUUCUCUUUGUGAAUUGGCCCUUCAGCAGGUCGAACGCCAUCUCUCUCUCUCUCUCUCGCUCUCUCUCACCUCCCGUAAAUCCACAGCUGUUCUUAUCGGACUGCAGCUCAAACUGUGACACAGGGACAACUGUUUCGGUCAGUGGGUACACCAGGAAGAGUUGCGGUUAUUCUCCUUUUCUUCCAGAAUGUUCUGUUUGCAACACAGGAUGCCGCCGAUCGGACUACUGUGUGGUGCAGUAGUCAUAAAACCUGUCAUAAAGCCGCAGUCCUGCUGGGACUGAAGGCUCCCGUCCAUGUGUCACGUUGGCGUGCUUAUCUGCAAACUAAUCAAGCCGUUAUCACCCUGCUUUAAUAGGCUGUUAUCCUGUUUGGACUAAAGCAUUGCGUUCCUAUCUCUGUGUGCCGGUGCGAUCGAAGCUCUGAGUCACUGCGCCUGGGCGGGUCAGUCAGCGCCCGUUCCCCGGGAUGACAUCAUCGGCCCAAAAUAGCAGCGGCUGUGAUGCAGCGCCGCCGUGAGAGCGCGAGCGCGAGCGCGAGGACCGGCCGAACGACAGAGCGCCGCGAGGGAAGAGGAGGAGAAACGGAGACAGUUGACGGACAGCCGCUCCGCAACCAAUCUCCCAAACCCAUUGAAGCCCUGGGCAGGUAGCUGCUGGAGAUGGUGAACUCCUGGAGGUCCUGGAGCUCAUCCAGCUGUAUAAAGCAGACUCAAAUAUGUCAGAGAUGAGCCGAGUGGGUCAAACAGUGGCACCGGGGGCCCAGGGACCUGUGAACCGCACCUGCAAACGGAACGGAGCGGAAUCCCAUAAUCAGGCUGGGACCCUGGAUCACCUACUUUAUCCUGGAGUGAGGGGUGUGGCCAGGGGAAUGUUUAGUUGUCUUAUAUACAGACAUGCCUGGACAGUGCUUAUGUAAUGUCUGCUCUGGCUGGAUGUUUCUGGCAUAAAAAUGUGGAGACAAAUUAUCUAAAACAUUUGUGUGGAACCCAAGGGUCUCAGAUAUUUGGCUGGCUUUAUGAGUUUCCAUGGAAACAGUCUACAGACCAAUAAAAUAGAUAUUUGUGGCGUUCCUCAGGAUAUGUAUGGAUCUCCAGCAUUCCCAUGAACCUGCAUGACUCUCCAGCAUUCCCAUGAAUCCGCAUGGCUCUACAGCAUUCCCAUGAAUCCGCAUGGAUCUCCAGCAUUCCCAUGAAUCCGCAUGGAUCUCCAGCAUUCCCAUGAAUCUGCAUGGAUCUCCAGCAUUCCCAUGAACCUGCAUGGCUCUCCAGCAUUCCCAUGGCUCUACAGCAUUCCCAUGAACCUGCAUGGUUCUCCAGCAUUCCCAUGAAUCUGCAUGGCUCUCCAGCAUUCCCAUGAACCUGCAUGGUUCUCCAGCAUUCCCAUGAACCUGCAUGGCUCUCCAGCAUUCCCAUGAAUCUACAUGGCUCUCCAGCAUUCCCAUGAACCUGCAUGGCUCUACAGCAUUCCCAUGAAUCUGCAUGGCUCUCCAGCAUUCCUAUGGCUCUACAGCAUUCCCAUGAACCUGCAUGGCUCUCCAGCAUUCCCAUGAACCUGCAUGGUUCUCCAGCAUUCCCAUGAAUCUGCAUGGUUCUCCAGCAUUCCCAUGAACCUGCAUGGUUCUCCAGCAUUCCCAUGAACCUGCAUGUUUCUCCAGC